rnacentral:misc_RNA from 1 species
AUUAGAACUGGAGUUAAAAAAGGGAUUAGUAAUUUAAGAUAGAGGGUGAAGAAGAGAGGCUUAUCAAUUCGGCAAAGGCAGCAAAAACGUUAUCGGAGAAACUUAGCAGCAAAAGCCAAUGUGGUAUGCAUUUGAAGUGGACAGAGAGCGGGUGAAGUCUCCCAGCGUUGAAAAUAGGGAAUUUGGUUGGGGUUUUGAGAGAGUUGAAGUCUUCCUUCAUUACUAAUUUGUUCUAGCAUUUAUAAUUACACCUACUUCUCCUCCACCUCUCUCUGCUCUCAUUCUCACCCACUCUCACAACAAUUAUCAGUCACAAAGGACAAAAAAGGAAGCGAAAGAAUAUCCCUAAAGUCUCGAAUCAUCUUCAUUUAAUGCAUAUCAGAAUGCUAAUUUCCUCUCUUUCUUAAAAACUUUCUUGAUUUUUUUUUCUAUCUCUAAUUCCCCCAAAGGCCCGAGCUUUCUGCAACUAUGGGGAAUCGGUUUAUUUGCAUGCUUAAAAAGGAUGCCAAAGAUAAUCACGGAUCGAGAAGCAAGAGAUUGGGUAGGUCCCAGAGAAAAUUGUCAGCCGAGGAAGAGGUCCUCCACAGACAAGCUCUCUCCAUGGCACUUCAUCAGCACCAAUUGUCUCAAAGAUUUGAUGGAUCCAUGUCCAGGAGGAUUGGCUCCACCAGCUCUCGCAGACGAAAUCUAUCUGAUCCUUUCUCUAACGGAAAACAGGUUGUCACUCGUUCUUGAUCGAGACACCUUAGCUUUCUUGAUUAUAUGCUCUUCUUUUUCCUUUUUUAAAGUAAAAAGAGUUUCCUUCAUGAUUGGAUCUGUAAUGAAAAGUAAAUAAAAAAAAUUUAAAAGAAAAGUCUCUCUAAUGAAGCUUUUAAGCAACUUCUAAUUACUAAUUAGUCAUGGUCAAGUCUCAAAGCGAUACUUUUCAGUGCAUUUACAUGAAAGAAAAUAAAGCAUUCUUCUUCUUCUUCUUCUUAAUAGAAUACUUCAAAAGUUAUGAUUAUAUAAAUAAAUGACAAACAGCCUUCAAAAGUGCGUCAGGAAAAGUAUGGAAAAGUGAUUCUCCAAUAUUUACCCAUUUUAGAUUGGAAUAGAUAGAUAUGUCCAAACAACUGCCCCCAUUAAGUCCCCUUUUUAAAUACCAAUUUAUAUAGUGAUUCAAGUUUAUAUUUUUAAUUUUGUUGUAAAUACUUUUCAGGUGCCAGACUUUCUGGAAAAUAUCAAGUUAAAGAAGUUCAUACUGAUACAUGGAGAAGGGUUUGGAGCUUGGUGUUGGUACAAAACAAUUGCCCUGUUGGAAGAAGCAGGAUUGCUUCCCACUGCCAUAGAUCUCAUAGGAUCUGGUAUUGAUCUGACAGAGACAAACAGUGUCACAACAUUGAAAGACCACUCCAAACCUUUGCUUGAUUAUUUGGAAAAUGUUUCUGAGGAUGAAAAGGUUAUUUUGGUUGGUCAUAGUACUGGAGGUGCAAGUGUCUCUUAUGCCCUGGAGCAUUUUCCACACAAGAUCUCGAAAGCUAUUUUUAUCUGUGCUACAAUGGUGUCUGAUGGUCAGCGGCCUUUCGACGUGUUUGCUGAAGAGCUUGGAUCUGCUGAACGUUUCA